rnacentral:lncRNA from 1 species
UUUUUUUUUUUUUUUGUAAAAGUAAAAAUCCUCCGGAUUUCUUUCAAUCAAUGAAAAUAGGCAUUAACUUUAUGUCUUUCAUAAAAACCAACUGGCAUAAAGCAAAAUUUUCAAAGCAAGAAGAUACCUGUAAAACUGUCUCUAUUUGCAAGUGACAUGAUCUUAUAUAAAGAAAACCCUAAAAAUUCCACCAAAAACUAUUACAUCUAAUUUUGAACUUAGUAAAGUGACAAAAUACAAAAUCAAUAUGCAAAAAUCAGUUGUGUUUCCAUACACUGAUAAUAAAUUAUCAGAAAGAGAAAUUAAAAUAAUCCCAUUUACAACUGUAUCAAAAAAAUAAAAUGUAAAAGACCUGUACACUAAAAACUGAGACACUAAUUAAAGAUAUUGAACACAGAAAUGGUAAAAAAUUCUGUGCUCAUGGAAGAAUUAAUAUUGUUAAAAUGUCUAUACUACCAAAAUCAAUUUUCAGAGUCAGUGAAAUCUCUAACAAAAUCUCAAGGGCAUGGCAUUUUUCAUGGAAAUAGAACAAAUAAUUUUAAAAUCUGUAUUGAACUACAAAUGACCCCAAUAGCCACGGCAAUAUAGAAGAAAGAGAACAAAGCUGGAGGUAUCACAUUUUCCAAUUUUAAAUUAUCUUACAAAUCUAAAAUAAGCAAAAUGGUAUGAUAUUGACAUAAAAAACAGACACAUAAAUCAAUGAAACACAAGAGAGAACCCAAAAAUAAAUGCACACAUAUACAGUGAAUCAAUAUAAAAUAAAGGAGCCAAGAAUAUAUGAUGGGGAAAACAUAGUUUCUUAAAAAAAAAAGUGGUCUUGGUAAAACUGGAAAGCCACAUGCAAAAGAAUGAAAAUGAGCUACUACCUUAUACUACACACAAAAACCAACACAAAAUGAAGGAAGUACUUGAACUAAGCCUUGAAACCAUAAAAUUCUUCCAAGAAAAAAAUAGUGGGUAAGCUCCCUGGCAUUGGUCUUGGGGAUAACUUUUUUGGGUAUGAUACUAAAAGCAAUGCCAACAAAAAUAAAUAAAUAAACAACUGAGACUGUAUCAAAGCAAAAACUUCAUGUACAAUAAAAAGCUAUCAACAAAAUGAAAAAGGCAACCUAUGGAAUCAAGGAAAAUAUUUCUAAGUCAUAUAUCUAAUAAGGGGCAAAUAUACAAAAUAUAUAAAAAUUCAUACAACUCAAUAGCAAAAAAAUAAAAAAAUAAAAAAAAGCAACUCAAUUAAAAAAUAGGCAGAAGAUCUAGACAGUUUUCCAAAGAGUAUGUACAGAUAGCCAACAGACAUAUGAAAAGAUAUGGUCAACAUCAGUAAUCAUGAGGAAAAUGAAAAUCAAAAGCACAAUGAGAUUUCACCUCACACCUAUCAGAAUGUCUGUUAUUAAAAAGACAACAAAUAACAAGUGUUGAUGAGGAUGCCAAGAAAAGGGAAUCCUUGUGUACUAUUGGUGGGUAUGAAAAUUAGUGUACCACUACAGAAAACAGUAUGCAAUUUCCUCAAAAAAAAUUUUUAAAAAGAACUACCAUAUGAUCCAGCAGUCCCACAGGUGGAUAUUUAUCAAAUGAAAAUAAAAUCACUUUCUCAAAAAAGAUGUUCAUAUCCUCAUGUUCACUGCAGCAUUAUUUACAACAGCCAAAGCAUGGGAACAAUUUAAAUGCCCAUCAAUGGACGAACAGAUAAAGAAAAUGUAAUAUAUGUAAGUACAAUGGAAUAAGAUUCAGGCACCACAAAAAUAAAGAAAUCCUACUGUUUGCAGCAAUAUGGACGGACUUUGAGGCCAUUAUGUGAGCCAAGUCAGUCAGAGAAAGACAAAUAGUGCAUAUUCUCACUGGAAUAAAAAAAAAAAAUGAAUUCACAGUUACAAAGAAAAGAUGGUUGAUUACCAGGGGUGGAGGUAGAAGGUGGGCAAAAUGGGUAAAGAUGGUCAAAAGGUACAUAUAUCAAAUUAUUCUGUUGUACACCUAAAAUUAAUACACUGUUGGACAUCAACUUUCUCUUCAUUUAAAAGAAAAUAUACUGCCUCAGCCCACUCUUUCAUGUCUUCAACUAGUGCUCAAAUCUCAUUUCUUAAUGCAGCCCAUCCUGGCCAUUUUAAUUUAUCCUGUUCACACAACACACCCCCCAUUACCAUGAACUGAUUUUUCAUCUUUUCACAGCAUUUGCUACUUUUCAACCUGAGUUAUGAUUCCUGCUUAUUAUUUAUCUUGCUAGAAUAUAAGUUCCAUGAACCAUGAUCUUUGUCUAUUUUCUACCCUGAUACAUCCCAAUGAUCUAGAAGAGUGACCAGCACAUAGUAGUUGCUCAGUAAAUAUUGCUGAAUGAAUGCUAUUGAACAAAAAUCCUUCUGUGUGAUCUGUCAACACUCCUACUACAACCAUGCAUCUCUAGCCAUACAAAUCCUUUGUGUUCUAUAGACUUCUGAAUUCAAUCAACCAAUAUUAGCCAUGGGAAUACAAAAGUGAAAAAGGCAGAUAAAGCAUUACACUGGGGGAGAAAGAUAUAGUCAAUAAAAAAAAUACAAUGUAAUAACAAGAAAAGUUAUGAAGAAAACUAAAUCAAGGUAAGUCAAUAAACAGUGUAGUAUAGGAGGUAACAUAUGAGAAAAGAUAUAUAAAUGAAGGAACAAGCUGCACAGAUAUUUUGGGGAGAGAGUUAUGUCAACGAGAACAAAGCCAUGGGCAGAAAAAUGCGGAUGGCUAAAAAAAUCCAGGAGGUCGAUGUGGCUAAAAUGUCAUCAGUAAUGGGGAGAGCAAAAAAGGAAGAAGUCUGAGGGUAUU